rnacentral:tRNA from 1 species
GGGAUUAGCUCAGCUGGCUAGAGCGCCUGCCUUGCACGCAGGAGGUCAUCGGUUCGACUCCGAUAUUCUCCACACAGGCGAUGC